rnacentral:rRNA from 1 species
ACGAACGCUGGCGGCGUGCCUAAUACAUGCAAGUAGAACGCUGAAGAGAGGAGCUUGCUCUUCUUGGAUGAGUUGCGAACGGGUGAGUAACGCGUAGGUAACCUGCCUUGUAGCGGGGGAUAACUAUUGGAAACGAUAGCUAAUACCGCAUAACAAUGGAUGACACAUGUCAUUUAUUUGAAAGGGGCAAUUGCUCCACUACAAGAUGGACCUGCGUUGUAUUAGCUAGUAGGUGAGGUAACGGCUCACCUAGGCGACGAUACAUAGCCGACCUGAGAGGGUGAUCGGCCACACUGGGACUGAGACACGGCCCAGACUCCUACGGGAGGCAGCAGUAGGGAAUCUUCGGCAAUGGGGGCAACCCUGACCGAGCAACGCCGCGUGAGUGAAGAAGGUUUUCGGAUCGUAAAGCUCUGUUGUAAGUCAAGAACGAGUGUGAGAGUGGAAAGUUCACACUGUGACGGUAGCUUACCAGAAAGGGACGGCUAACUACGUGCCAGCAGCCGCGGUAAUACGUAGGUCCCGAGCGUUGUCCGGAUUUAUUGGGCGUAAAGCGAGCGCAGGCGGUUUGAUAAGUCUGAAGUUAAAGGCUGUGGCUCAACCAUAGUUCGCUUUGGAAACUGUCAAACUUGAGUGCAGAAGGGGAGAGUGGAAUUCCAUGUGUAGCGGUGAAAUGCGUAGAUAUAUGGAGGAACACCGGUGGCGAAAGCGGCUCUCUGGUCUGUAACUGACGCUGAGGCUCGAAAGCGUGGGGAGCGAACAGGAUUAGAUACCCUGGUAGUCCACGCCGUAAACGAUGAGUGCUAGGUGUUGGAUCCUUUCCGGGAUUCAGUGCCGCAGCUAACGCAUUAAGCACUCCGCCUGGGGAGUACGACCGCAAGGUUGAAACUCAAAGGAAUUGACGGGGGCCCGCACAAGCGGUGGAGCAUGUGGUUUAAUUCGAUGCAACGCGAAGAACCUUACCUGGUCUUGACAUCCACGGAAGUUUUCAGAGAUGAGAAUGUGCCUUCGGGAACCGUGAGACAGGUGCUGCAUGGCUGUCGUCAGCUCGUGUCGUGAGAUGUUGGGUUAAGUCCCGCAACGAGCGCAACCCCUAUUGUUAGUUGCCAUCAUUCAGUUGGGCACUCUAGCGAGACUGCCGGUAAUAAACCGGAGGAAGGUGGGGAUGACGUCAAAUCAUCAUGCCCCUUAUGACCUGGGCUACACACGUGCUACAAUGGUUGGUACAACGAGUUGCGAGUCGGUGACGGCAAGCUAAUCUCUUAAAGCCAAUCUCAGUUCGGAUUGUAGGCUGCAACUCGCCUACAUGAAGUCGGAAUCGCUAGUAAUCGCGGAUCAGCACGCCGCGGUGAAUACGUUCCCGGGCCUUGUACACACCGCCCGUCACACCACGAGAGUUUGUAACACCCGAAGUCGGUGAGGUAACCUUUUGGAGCCAGCCGCCUAAGGUGGGAUAGAUGAUUGGGGUG